UAGAGCUUAAAAACUCCUAAAACCAUUGUGAACUCAUCCUUUAUCGUUGCUUCGGCAGGCGGCCCCUCACCGGGCCCUAGCGUUCCCUCACCCGGAAAGCGCCCGCCGAAGGCACAAAACUCUUCUGUAUUUUAUGGAACUUCUGAUUAAACAAGCAAAUAAAUUA
rnacentral:misc_RNA from 1 species